rnacentral:rRNA from 1 species
UACGUAGGGGGCAAGCGUUAUCCGGAUUUACUGGGUGUAAAGGGAGCGUAGACGGCGCGGCAAGUCUGAAGUGAAAGGCAGGGGCUUAACCCCUGAACUGCUUUGGAAACUGCCAUGCUAGAGUGCUGGAGAGGUAAGUGGAAUUCCUAGUGUAGCGGUGAAAUGCGUAGAUAUCGAGAGGAACACUCGUGGCGAAGGCGGGUUCCUGGACAUUAACUGACGCUGAGGCACGAAGGCCAGGGGAGCGAAAGGG